ACCAGACCUCGCUGUCCUCCGGAAAAGCCCGAAGACCCCCGUGGCCAUCCUGUGAGAUUUGAGUCGGCCCCCCUCCCCCUUCCCCCCUGCUUUCCAGAGACUGACCGCCACCACUCAAGGAGCGAUGAAGCCGGAUGGGGUUGCCCUGGUGGCGUUGGAGCCCAUGGAAACGAUGGAAUCCAAUCCAGCGAAUGAGGCGGCGGGACAGGAGCCCAACCAGGCUGCCAGUCCUGCGGAGGGGGAGAUGCCACAGCAGCCCGCCGCCGAGAUGGACCAGGCAGAACCAAAGCCGGACCCGGCAAAGGACACCCCGGCUGCCAAGACCACAAACAAAACGUCCGGAGACUCUAAAGCCCAUCCGACCAACAAGGCAACGGCCAAGACGAAACCCGGACCCACGGGCUCCACCAAGACCACGCUUGGAUCCCGGCCCAACACAUCCCAGAGCCGCCUCUCAAAUGGCGUGUCUAAGCCCCAGACCAAUGGGGUGGCGAAGAAAACUGUCCCCGCGGCGGUGAAUAAGAGCGCCGCAGCUCCGGCGAAAAAACCAACAGCCCCGGCAGCCAAGAGCAAACUAGGUGAGAAGAAACCCACAGGCAAUGACGCAAAGCCGAUGACCGGAACAACAACAACAACAACAGCGGCAGCCAAGAAGACGGCGCCUGCAACCGCUGCUGGUGUCAAAAGUGGCACCGCUGCUGCAGCUGCCAAAAAGCCCCCAGUUUCCAAGGCCGCCUCUGCAACUCCCACCAAGCCGAGCGCUGCUGCUCCACCCAAGCCCUUUGUUGCCAAGACAACCAGGUAGAGUGUGACACGGCAGCAUCUGGAGACGGCACAAGCAGCCAUCUGUGGAGAUUGGUCCUCUUUCUUAGACAUUCUCUGUUUCCUUUAAAGCCGUUCCAAUGAUUUGGGAGCAAACCUGCCAAUUUGCUCCAGCAGAAAAUCUGAAUAAAUGGUCAGAUAGAUAAUAAUUUCAGCUCUGUACACCAUUAUGAAUCAUUAAUCAGCCCCGAGUGAGAAGCCACCCGCCACAAAGAUGACACUGUUUGAGGGAGGGAAAAAAAUGGCCCAAAGGAGCGAGGAACAAUGAUCCCCCACAUCGAGGCCUGCAAGGGCCGGGCGUAAGUAGGCCAGCCACGAGCCGAAGUCAGAACAAGCCUGAGCGGAACGCCGUCAGCCAGAGCCACACAGCAGCAUGAUUAAUAAAACAAGUUCAGUGAACGAGGAGGCGGCGCAAACAAGGGCGUUUUCGUUUCCCCCGAGCGAGCGUUUCUGUUUACCACCAUGUAGUGCGAGAGUGUGUGUGCGAGUCACCUUGUGUUCCUCACCCGAGUCAGGUGGCUCGACCAGCGCAGGGGACUUGAAGGAGGCCUUUGUCUUGAGACUGGGAGAUAGCGAUCCGAUCGGUUGCUUUGUCCACAAGGCGUUCAUCUCGCCGCUGCCUUGUUAGUUUGUCUUUGAGACUUCCUCGCUGCGUGGUAUGACGCCCAAUGUGUCACCAUGUCAGUAAAGUCAGUGUGGGCACUUUGUUUGGGAAGAAGCACUUGAGUUAUGCAUGUUUGGACCAUUUUCAGCCAACUUGUUACUGCGAAUAGAAAGGCGGUAGAAUGACCACCAAGCUGCAGGCGACGCUCUUCAAAGGGAUAGUGGCGCUUAUUUGCUUUCUUGCCAGAUUUCCAAACAGGCAAAUAGAAAAUGGAGAGGAUGCCUAUCAAAAUGCUUUUUUAUGUUGUGUAGGAUUAUUUAAAUAUAUAUUAAAAAGGUUCAUCUUCUAUUCUGUUCAGUCCUCAGACUAGCAUAACGCACAAAGUCGCCGGCCGGUUCCUUCCUCAUGACCAUAAGGUGUUUCACAUGAAAACCCCUCCGGUCGCCACGCAUACACUCUCCAUGUGCCACAAGUAGCAGUUGGAUUACACUCAGAUUAUAGCUUCAUACAAUGGUUGAUGUGCAAACAUCUAAUUAAAACAGAUUACAAAAGAGCAUAAUAGUAAUCUGACUGUGAUACACAGCGUGCAUUGUUGAAGGCCGGCAAGAACCGGCUCCCUCGUCACUAAUACAACACUCCCCAAGUGAGAAGUGACCAGUCGGGCUUUUGAAUAAAAAGGCCAAUGCGCAAAUUGUCAUCAAUACAUUUUCCAAAAUUGAAGCUAGUAUUGUUAUUCGGUUGAGAUUGAAUUAGAAGGAGCCUGGAGGAUGUGUUUAGAUCUGCAUAUGGAACCAUCCCUGACGGUGGUCUCUUCUGACAGCGCUGCGUGCCCCUGCAGCAUACACUACUUCAGUUAAGUGUGCGCGCUGCUGGUCAGCGUCUGUGUAUGUGACGCACUUUGACAGGCCAUUAAUGUCUACUUUAAUUAGAUUUAAGCCCCUUUUCAACCUCCCUGAAACCUUAACGUGGGCCUGCUUUUGCCAGUGGAGUGGCAGAAACCUAGAUGGGGAAAAUGCACCAUCAGACAGACACACACACACACACACACACACACACACACACACACGUCGCCAGUGGGUCUCUCAAUUUACCUUUUCUCUAAAGGCUCAGUUGAUUUAAUUCCAUCUGCAGUAGGUUCCAGUUAUCAGACCAAUAAGUCCAGAGCGAGCGCAGGUUUCCCUAAGUGACAUCAAUCUCAUUUAAGCCCCCCUCCUCCCCCCCCCAGGCAGCAGGAGGUUUUAGCUAAAUUAAAUUAGCUUCUCUUAGUUGUUGAUGCCAGUGGCUCUUUUUUUGGCUCAUUGUUAAUAUGUUAUAUAAUUUAUAAUGGAGGGCCCAAAAUAGUUUUUACCGACAUGCACAGCCAGACGUUUUUCCCUACUUUAUAAGCAGAUCUUUGCCCAUAAAUCACCUUUUAUUCAUACGUUGUAACGGGAAACAUUUGAGGCUGAUUAGCGUGCAUAUAGGGAAAGUGUAAAUCAUUACGGGUGGGUUGAACCUCUGGUCAUAUCUGUGCUGGGGUGUCAGCUUGGGUGCAUGACCAAUUCUGGUCUCUCUUGGUCAGCUGCUUCAGGCGAUUCGUGUGUAUAUAUACAUUGACAAUCUGGGACUGGUGUACAGCGUGCAAACUCUACAACUCUAGGUAUAUAUAUAUAUAUAAGGCGCUGCGAGAGUCGCACCGUGUUUCAACGUGCUGCUUCGCCAAUGCCGCAGAGGGAAGGGACCUUCUUAUUUUCUUAAGCGGUGUAUGGAGGCUACGCGGCUGAAUAAGUCAUUAGUCCACGCUGAGCUCCCGUCCGAUCUGCCAGAGCUGCAUGCAGAGAGCGAGGGCUGUGCAUGUGUGUGUGAGAAGCAGGUGUGAAAGAAGAAGCGGAGGAUGUCUCUGCGGGAAGCAGAGGGUGACAUUGGCCUACAGAUUAGAGGACAAGGGAAUGUAUUCGGUCCUUAUUUCACGAACUCUGAGGAGGAAACUGGGAUGAGCCAACCUCUCAGCCACACCAUGUUCCCACAUUAGUCAUGCGGCUUUCCUCCCUGAUGGCCCCUCAGGGAUGAUAUAUUUUUAUUGCACCGAAUUGAAUGCAACCCUCAUGAUCUAACAAAUUACUGGUGAUGUAAUGUGUGUGUGUCUGUGUGUGUGUGUGUGUGUGUGUGUGUGUGCUGUAAAUCCUCUGUCCUGCUUUGGGUGUGGCAGCUGACAUCUGGGAUGAGUCUCCCGUUGGCGUGGUUUUAUACGGAGGCGCAGCCGCAUAGCCAAUUACCAAAUGGAUUUAGUAGGACGGAGUCUGGAGAGAGGGAGGGGGAGAGACCAGAUUUGAGUGGGGGGGGGGAGGAGCCGCUUGUGGUUGUUCACUCGUGCCACAGACGUGAAGUGAUCGACGUAACAGAUAUCUGAGGAAACGCUUUGUGGAAAGCAGUGUGAGGUUGUUUUUUCUCUCUGAACCAAACUCCCAUUUCAGCUGUUGUUAGUUCUUAGACAGAUCUGGGAGGACAUCUCCCGGGACAUCCCACAGGACACCCUCCGUCGUCUCAUUAGGAGCAUGCCGCGACGUUGUCAAGCAUGCGUACGAGCACGUGGGGGCCACACAAGAUAUUGAGAAGGAUUUUGCGGUGCAGAUGUAUUAACAUUAAGAUGCUUCCCAGUUGAUUUGGAUGAAUUAUUAUUAUAAAUAAAUAUAUAGUCAUUCGAUGUCACGUGAGAGGAUCUGGAACGCGUGUAAUUGGUCGGUGUGAUUCCUGGCAGCUGAUUGGGUGCUCCAGGCACAGACUAGCUGUGACAGUUAAAAUACUAGCACUUCACCAGCAUCUGUUGAAUGUCCAGGAAACAACAGCGUCUGAGUCUGUAAGUGUCUGCUGGCGGAGCCGGUGCUUAAGAAGUGGACAUGAUCACUUCUUGCUGUUUUGCUUUAAAAUGUUGUUUUUGAGCUUUUAUGAACUGUUAAAGUUCCUGCCUAAAUGGACCACGAUUUACAAAAUGAAACACCGAGGUUAGCCGCCUUGAUUUAUUGUGUAUCUGCAUUUUGUAACCGUGCAUCGGGGAGCUGCACGCCUGCUUUGCUGCUGCAGAUUAAGUAGACGCCUCUGUGGCUUCAGGCUACCAACCACACGGUGCUCCUAUUGUCCCUUGAAGACACAUUAGGAAAAGGAUCAGCACACAUAGAGGGUAGACUUCUCAUCGGGUUCGUUCAGACUGGAUGCACUCCAACCAGGCUGGAGAUCCUGCCUCUAUAUUUCUGGCGCUUAAUUAACAGUGUCAUCUUUCAUUUUGCCCUUCACCGGUUUUCGGCACCCUUUGCUGCAGGGGAAGAUGUCUGCCGCCCCCCCCC
ensembl:lncRNA